rnacentral:rRNA from 1 species
UUNAAAAGCUCGUAGUUGAAUUUCGGGAUCAAUAUAUCGGUCGUGCCUUUGGUACGUACUGGUAUCAUUGAUUUCUCCUUUCUGACGAAUCAUGAUGUCAUUAAUUUGGUGUUAUGAGGAGUUAGGACUGUUACUUUGAAAAAAUUAGAGUGUUUAAAGCAGGCAUUAGCUUGAAUACAUUAGCAUGGAAUAAUGAAAUAGGACGUUUGACCCUAUUUUGUUGGUUUUUAGGAUCGACGUAAUGAUUAAUAGGGAUAGUUGGGGG